CAAUAGCGUAUAUUAAAGUUGUUGCGGUUAAAAAGCUCGUAGUUGGAUUUCUGCUGAGAACGACCGGUCCGCCCUCUGGGUGUGUAUCUGGCUCUUUCUUGGCAUCUUCUUGGUGAACGUUGCUGCACUUGACUGUGUGGAGCGCUACCCAGGACUUUUACUUUGAGGAAAUUAGAGUGUUUCAAGCAGGCAUACGCCUUGAAUACAUUAGCAUGGAAUAAUAAGAUAGGACCUCGGUUCUAUUUUGUUGGUUGAGCCUAAAGUAAUGAUUAAUAGGGAUAGUUGGGGGCACCUGUAUUGCGUUGUCAGAGGUGAAAUUCUUGGAUUUACGCAAGACAAACAGCUGCGAAAGCGUCUGCCAAGGAUGUUUUCAUUAA
rnacentral:rRNA from 1 species